AGGCACCUUGCUCGGCAGGCGCAACGCCCAGGCCGGUGCCAGCCAGAAGAGUGGCGAAGCCCUGUUCGACACUGUAGGUGCCUU
rnacentral:tRNA from 1 species